rnacentral:rRNA from 1 species
GACGAACGCUGGCGGCGUGCUUAACACAUGCAAGUCGAACGGAGAAUUUUACUUCGGUGAAAUUCUUAGUGGCGAACGGGUGAGUAACGCGUAGACAACCUGCCUCUUAGAUGGGGACAACAUCGCGAAAGCGGUGCUAAUACCGAAUGAAGUGGAGCUUCCGCAUGGAAGCAUCACCAAAGGUGGCCUCUAUUUAUAAGCUACCACUGAGAGAUGGGUCUGCGUCUGAUUAGCUAGUUGGCGGGGUAAUGGCCCACCAAGGCGACGAUCAGUAGCCGGUCUGAGAGGAUGAACGGCCACAUUGGGACUGAGACACGGCCCAAACUCCUACGGGAGGCAGCAGUGGGGAAUCUUCCGCAAUGGACGAAAGUCUGGCGGAGCAACGCCGCGUGAGUGAAGAAGGUUUUCGGAUCGUAAAGCUCUGUUGUUUGAGACGAAUGUGCAGACUUUGAAUAAGGGUUUGUAAUGACGGUAUUAAACGAGAAAGCCACGGCUAACUACGUGCCAGCCGCCGCCGUAAUAC